rnacentral:rRNA from 1 species
GAUGAACGCUGGCGGCGUGCCUAAUACAUGCAAGUAGAACGCUGAAGGAAGGAGCAUGCUCUUUCCGGAUGAGUUGCGAACGGGUGAGUAACGCGUAGGUAACCUGCCUGGUAGCGGGGGAUAACUAUUGGAAACGAUAGCUAAUACCGCAUAACAGUAGAUGUUGCAUGAUAUCUACUUAAAAGGUGCAAUUGCACCACUACCAGAUGGACCUGCGUUGUAUUAGCUAGUUGGUGAGGUAACGGCUCACCAAGGCGACGAUACAUAGCCGACCUGAGAGGGUGAUCGGCCACACUGGGACUGAGACACGGCCCAGACUCCUACGGGAGGCAGCAGUAGGGAAUCUUCGGCAAUGGACGGAAGUCUGACCGAGCAACGCCGCGUGAGUGAAGAAGGUUUUCGGAUCGUAAAGCUCUGUUGUAAGAGAAGAACGAGUGUGAGAGUGGAAAGUUCACACUGUGACGGUAUCUUACCAGAAAGGGACGGCUAACUACGUG